UCACCAGUUCGAGUGACGCUUGGG
rnacentral:siRNA from 1 species